AACACGUGAGUAACCUGCCCUUAACUCUGGGAUAAGCCUGGGAAACUGGGUCUAAUACCGGAUAGGAGCGCCCACCGCAUGGUGGGUGUUGGAAAGAUUUAUCGGUUUUGGAUGGACUCGCGGCCUAUCAGCUUGUUGGUGAGGUAAUGGCUCACCAAGGCGACGACGGGUAGCCGGCCUGAGAGGGUGACCGGCCACACUGGGACUGAGACACGGCCCAGACUCCUACGGGAGGCAGCAGUGGGGAAUAUUGCACAAUGGGCGAAAGCCUGAUGCAGCGACGCCGCGUGAGGGAUGACGGCCUUCGGGUUGUAAACCUCUUUCAGUAGGGAAGAAGCGAAAGUGACGGUACCUGCAGAAGAAGCACCGGCUAACUACGUGCCAGCAGCCGCGGUAAUACGUAGGGUGCGAGCGUUAUCCGGAAUUAUUGGGCGUAAAGAGCUCGUAGGCGGUUUGUCGCG
rnacentral:rRNA from 1 species